rnacentral:rRNA from 1 species
AUUGAACGCUGGCGGCAGGCCUAACACAUGCAAGUCGAACGAGUGGCGGACGGGUGAGUAAUGUCUGGGAAACUGCCCGAGGGAGGGGGAUUACUACUGGAAACGGUAGCUAAUACCGCAUACCAUCGGAUGUGACCAGAUGGGGUUAGCUUGUAGGGGAGGUAACGGCUUACCUAGGCGACGAUCCCUAGCUGGUCUGAGAGGAUGACCAGCCACACUGGAACGGAGACACGGUCCAUACUCCUACGGGAGGCAGCAGUGGGGAAGAUUGCACAAUGGGCGCAAGCCUGAUACAGCCAUGCCGCGUGUGUGAAGAAGGUCUGCGGAUUGUAAAGCACUUUAAGUUGUGAGGCGUUACCAACAGAAUAAGCACCGGCUAACUUCGUGCCAGCAGCCGCGGUAAUAC